AUUGAACGCUGGCGGAAUGCUUUACACAUGCAAGUCGAACGGCAGCACGGACUUCGGUCUGGUGGCGAGUGGCGAACGGGUGAGUAAUGUAUCGGAACGUGCCCAGUCGUGGGGGAUAACGUAGUGAAAAUUACGCUAAUACCGCAUACGAUCUAUGGAUGAAAGCGGGGGAUCGCAAGACCUCGCGCGAUUGGAGCGGCCGAUAUCAGAUUAGGUAGUUGGUGGGGUAAAGGCCCACCAAGCCAACGAUCUGUAGCUGGUCUGCGAGGACGACCAGCGACACUGGAACUGCGACACGGUCCAGACUCCUACGGGAGGCAGCAGUGGGGAAUUUUGGACAAUGGGCGAAAGCCUGAUCCAGCCAUUCCGCGUGCAGGAUGAAGGCCCUCGGGUUGUAAACUGCUUUUGUACAGAACGAAAAGGUUUCUACUAAUACUAGGAGCUCAUGACGGUACUGUAAGAAUAAGCACCGGCUAACUACGUGCCAGCCGCCGCCGUAA
rnacentral:rRNA from 1 species